AUUCCUGAAGGAUAAAUUAGUCAAUAACUAUGUGUUGAGUGCAAAUGGCAUGUCAUGCAAUGCAAUGUUGAAAAAAAUUCUAAUUUAUGAUAUUCCUGUCUCCCAUGAGGCACCUAACAGAACUUGGCAUUUAAAACCUACUCAUCCAGGGAGAAGCCACAUUCCAGCACCAGAUGUUCACCGUGCGGCUUGAAAAGCCUGGGCUCCGACCGUGCGGGUGCCCACACUGUGCACUCUACAACCGUGCUCCAGCAUCACUCACACGCCUGCGUGUGAUUCUUAGCAGAUGUCUGAGUCCGCACUGAAUUGUAUUGUGUUUCAUGUGUUUAAUGAGAAUCUGAGAAUCCUGUGGUGCGAGAAAUCACAAAGCAUACUCUGGUCACCGUUCCGUCGUGCCGAGUCCGUCUGAGAUCUGGAAGUCAUUCGUGCCUUGCCGUGAUGUGAUUUAAAGUGAAACCUCAUAAAAUUGCAUGGUAUGGUGGGGAGGAGGGAUGUUUCUUGCCUGACUGCAGUGUAGACUGCUUUCUUUGGAUCCAUUUGCUGAAUAUUUAUGGAGCCCCUGUGACCUGCUGGGCAAGGCUGUGAAGGGGCAUCCAGAGAAACAAGACCGUCCUGCUCAUUUCAGGAGCUUGUCACUUGCUUGGGAAGAUUUGAAAUGAACUGUUCCCGUGCUUCCGGGGACCCCUCCCAGACUAGCAGCCUACGAUUCUGUGCUGACUGCAUCCUCUCGUCAGCAGGAGAUGGAGCGAAGGAACCCACCUUCUGGGGCCGUCUCACAGCCUGCAGGCCCUCCAUUGUCUCCUGUGGCAGAGGACAAACAGGACCGCAAUAUCUUGCAGUUCCCCCGCCGAGAGGUCUCUCCCCGCUCCACUCGGUCAGGCUGGGCUCGCCUCGCCUCAUGAUUUGCUUGACAGCAGAAUGUCAAGCCAAAUGAUGUCAUGCGUGUCUUGGAGCUGAGGCCACUGUGUUGUGAAGAAGCCCAGGGAGGGGAGGAGAAGGCUUCUCAGCUGCCCCUGCAGACCCCCCUGCAGAACACGGGA